GCUUCGAGCGCUUUGAAAUACGUGGCGCUUGAUAAGUUCAGCUGGGAUCAGGAUUAUGACAAGAUUAAGGUGCGCGCUUUUAAUCUAUGACUCUCUCAAAGUCAAAUUGGAAUUGUUUAGUGAUGGUUUAGGCAUUUUGACUGAUGGGGGCAUUUCCAUAGUUACUUAUUUUAAAUUGUUUAUUGUAAGAAGCGGGGGGAAAAAAGGUUAUUCACUUGAUCUGAAAUAUGUGGGAAUUUUUAUGAGAUUUAGGUUGGGUGGCAUUUAAGAAGCCUCAACGUCAGAAAUAUUUGGUAAUUGAGUUUUGUUUCUAUUCCAAAUGCAUAGCGGUAUUUUGUAGGCUAGUUUAAGGGAUGAUAUGGAUUGUUGCUCUAUUUAUUGUUUGUUAUUUUGAUAUCAGCCUUUCCAAUGUAAAUAAUGCUCUCAGCAUUCGAUCUCUUCUUAUGUCCAACCACCUCCUCAUCCUUAGAACGAUGGUAAACCCCUAAGUUUGUCCAGAUAUUUUGUAUUUCAGUGGUGUUACUUGUUCAUGGAUCACUGGUUUGUCAAGUGUAUGAAUAUCCAUCCAAAAUCGAUUUUAGAAAGUGUACAUGAGGAUGUAUCCUUUUUGUGCGUGUAGAGCAAGGUGUGAGACAUUCUCAUUGUAAUAGUUUUUUUUACCACUAUUUGUUUGGAUGCUAUUUCAUAGUAAAAGCUGACCCCGAGCUUGCAGGACAUUAGGAAUAGGUCGUAAUUAUAAGAUAGUUAAUAGGUAUUGUUUCUAGUUAUCGAUUAUGGGUUAUUCUCGGUCCCAAUGUUUCUGUUCAUGCUAUCAGACCAGCUACUGAUCAUAGCGGUGGUAAGUCCUCUGGUGGUGUGUUUUUUUUGCUCCUCGGACUAUGUUGUGUUUUUUAACCACUUCGAGUUCUUUUAUGCUUCUUCUUACCCUUCUUAUCUGUUGGAAAUAUCACUUCCCAUUCGAUUUUCAUACAUUUGGCAUGCUACAAAAGGUCAUCAUGAAAGACAAUUCUGGCACGAAACUCUCUUACAUUCUGGCAUCAAAUGCUUAAAAUUUUACCUUUGUCCAUGUCCAAGGAUAUGGUGUCCUAUUGUCUGAUAUACCUUUGUCCAUGUAACACCAAGGAUAUUUAUGUAGCAUGCGUUUGGCAUGCUACAAAUGGUUAUCAUGAAAGACAUUCCUGGCAUGAAACUCUGUUACAUGCUGGUAUUUCCUUUUCAUUAUAUGAGCCAUGUUCGAUUGUUAGAUUUCCAAAAGUCUAUAAUAUAAUUAUCGUGGGGUGUGUUCUGCUAUAUAACUUUAUUAGAACUGAAUUGAAAAAUGAUCCAUUUGAAAUUGAUAAGCUAGAAGAAUAUGAGGUGGAAGAAGGAGAACAAAAUGAAAAGAAUGAAGUUGAAACAAUAACAUCCAUGGGGACAUCAAACGAGUGGUUUCAAUUUAGAGCAGAUUUAGGAAGUAUUAUGUAUAAUCAUUGGCUUGCAAGUGGAAACAAUACAUGAAUUUACUAAUGACCACCUUAAUAAUUAUGGUGUUUUCUAAAAUUCAUUAUUUUCUAGGCACAUGAGUGAUGACAGUCAUUGUGUAAAUAAUGUAAUGUGGAUUUUUGACCCAAAAAAAAAUGUAAUGUGGAUUUGUGUUUCAGAUGACAGGUUACAAACUGAAGCUUGAGGGAUUUGGAAGACUAGAAGCUAAAGUUUGUGAGUGGGGAAAUAUUGAGGUCUCUAUGGUGAUUUAGGAUUCUAACCCUUGCUAUGAAGACGCACAUAUGAGGCUUGCUACAGUACUUUUAAUGUUGCUAUUGAGUCCAACUGAGUGUUAUGUUUGUUUCCUGGUCUUUUCUUUCUUCUGUCAUGAUCCUGUUCAUGCCUGAACAUUUGAAAGAUGGGAAAUAAGUGGACUAUGGUUGUUCUACUAUUUUGUUUAUAGACGAACUUACUACUCUUCUAGUUUAUCAAGUAAUUAAGUAGAUUGUCUUUACUAAUCGUGAUCGUGUUGCUGGUAGUUAUGAUGGCAUUUAUAUCAAGUUAUUGAUCUUAUACAGAUCCUUGCA